rnacentral:tRNA from 1 species
UAAAUUUUAAGUUAAAAAAACUGUGAGCCUUCAAAGCUUAAAAUGGGUUUCCAAAUUUAG